rnacentral:rRNA from 1 species
CCCUUAGAUGUUCUGGGCCGCACGCGCGCUACACUGACGAAUGCAACGAGCUUAUAACCUUGGCCGAAAGGUCUGGGUAAUCUCCAAAUUUCGUCGUGAUGGGGAUAGAUUAUUGCAAUUAUUGAUCUUCAACGAGGAAUGCCUAGUAAGCGCAAGUCAUCAGCUUGCGUUGAUUACGUCCCUGCCCUUUGUACACACCGCCCGUCGCUCCUACCGAUUGAAUGGUCCGGUGAAGCGUUCGGACCGUGGCCUUUGGACGGUUCGCCGUCUGUUGGCUGCGGGAAGUUCGUUAAACCUUAUCAUUUAGAGGAAGGAGAAGUCGUAACA